UUUUGUAAAACCGCCGGCCAGUGCCUAAUACAUGCAAGUCGAGCGGACAGAAGGGAGCUUGCUCCCUGAUGUUAGCGGCGGACGGGUGAGUAACACGUGGGUAACCUGCCUGUAAGACUGGGAUAACUCCGGGAAACCGGAGCUAAUACCGGAUAGUUCCUUGAACCGCAUGGUUCAAGGAUGAAAGACGGUUUCGGCUGUCACUUACAGAUGGACCCGCGGCGCAUUAGCUAGUUGGUGGGGUAAUGGCUCACCAAGGCGACGAUGCGUAGCCGACCUGAGAGGGUGAUCGGCCACACUGGGACUGAGACACGGCCGCA
rnacentral:rRNA from 1 species